rnacentral:misc_RNA from 1 species
CAAAGUCUUUCACUAGAAAUAAUUCUAGUUGCAAUUAAUGUUUUUCCUGUUUUCUCCCUGACCUAUCAUUUGUCAGCUGAUUCCUCAUGCUUAAGACUGUUCACGAUAAUAAUUAACUAUAUUGACACAAGAUAUGGGCAAAAAACCAAUUGCCACAGAAACCCUAGCUGUACUGUCCUCAGUUUUACACGAAGAUAUGACCUAGCUCCUCAAUGUAGCUGAAAAUCAGCGAGUAAUGGUAGAAAAACUAUAUGGAACGAAGAUGCCAAAAAUUACGAAUAUUUCUCUGUAUAUAUCUAUACAGUUCACUGCAAAACUUUCCCUUGUUUCACUUUCAUUUUUAAACUUCGUUUUCAUCCAUGGAAAACAACAGCCUCUGCGCAUUUAGUACUACAGGAGAACCUUUCCUCGUCUUCUCCACAACGUGCUUUAUCAGUUGCUUCUCUAUCUCAUCACUGCAAUCGCUGUUUUCAUCUUCACUUGCAGCAUCAUAAAGCAAUUCUUGAUUUUCCGAGCCUCGCUCUACUGAUGCCUUUAAUUGAUUGAAAUGUAAUUCCCUAGAUGGUUUUUCUCUAUUGCGAGUGAGAUGAAUCAAGGAACUAUUUGUUGCACCAUUUUGACCUCGUAAAUUGCUUUCAUCAAAUGGAUGUAUGCCCCCUUGGUGGUUAUUUUCAUAAACUCCAGAUAGCAAAUCAUCUUCUUGUGACUCGUUUAUCUUCAUUAGCUCUUCAUAAGCUUCAUUGUAAGCAUCUAGAGCUUCCCCUGAUAAAUUCAUAACUAGAGGUUGGGUUGUCAUAGAAUUGAAAUCUUCUUCAAUUUCUUCACCAGAGGAAUAUCUCAGUUCGCUGUUUGGAAACUUCCUCCAAACAUUCCUAUGCUCAGACUCCCAGAGUUGCAACUUCCUCUCACUGCUUUUAAGGGCCAUCUCAAGCUUCUUCACCCGCUCUUCAAGUCUGGAUUGAAUAACUUCAUGCAGACGCAGGCUCAGUUCUCGGGGUGAAACUGUAUAAUUUCCGGUAUGAGAUGUUGAGGUACCACUUGCAUCUCUAUCUGAUUCAAGUUGGUUAACAGCUUGCCCAUUGACCAUGUCUGCCCGCAGUUCACCUUGAGCAAUGUCUGCUACAAAAUUUGGGUCAAGCUCAACAAGAUCAGAGAGCCUUCUCUCCAAAUUAGAUGUAUUCAUGUUUAGCCCCAAUCUCUCAAGUUCAGCCUCAAGCUCUGCUUCAAUUUCACUCAUAUCUUCUAAGGUCUCCUCAGCCUUCUCAUAGUGGUGUGAUUCUUUACCAUCAUUGUUUGUUGCAUUCUCCAUAUUGUGUACGGAAACAACUGGAUUUGGUGCCCUAAAGUCAAAGGAGUUCUCACAUGUGUAUUGUGAUUCACAGUUCUCAUCAGCAAGCUCUUUCACUGUCAAUGAAUCUUUCAUCUCAAGUUCUUCUUGCAGAUCUUGAACCAAGUUCUCUUUCUGCUUCAACAAGUUUUUUAAUUUGUCUAGCUCUCUUCCAUUAGCUAGGAGAGAAGAGACUAUGCCAACACAAAUACCCAGACAGAAUAAAAUUGUUCGAUCAAGUGACCCAUUUUGAGAAUUAAAGUGCCUUCCACUGCCUGCUUUAUGGGAAUCGCUGUAUCUUUCAUCAUGCCCUUUUCCUAUCUUAGAUUUAAUCUUAUUGGGGACGUCCAAUGCACUGAUUUUUGGCAAUGGAGGAACCCCACAGGGCCUACACAAAUUUUCCUCCUUAUGCAGCCUAUUAUCAUCAGUACUGAUCUGUGCACUGAAAGAAUGACCAUUUACUCUGUCAAUUGUUUGGUUUCCAUUGGUUACAAGCAGUGGCCUUGUAGUUGUAGAUGAUGAAGGAAAGACACUAAGCACAUACUCUUCCAUGUUGAUGUGUUCCUUGUACAACUGAGCCAUAAGGCAACUUUCUAGGGAACUCAAAGGUUUGAUAAUAUGGCGAUAUAGAUGUUUGGUUCUGAGGGAGUUUCUUUUCCUCGUAGAAUCAUGAAAAGAGUCCAUUUCACCAGUACAAGGGCUACCACAAUUAUCACCACUCAACCCAUUUUCACCCUCACAUUCUUUUAGGUUUUCAUCCCUUGAGAAUCCAAGUGGCAAGCUCGACAAGGAAAAUAUAUUGUGCUCAUACUCUUCCAAACUCCCAAGUUUUUCAUCAUAACCACUAGUAGAAACUUCUGCUUCCAAAGCACCAUCUAACCUGUACAUAUCUGACAAUCUCUCACUUGUAGAAGUAUCUUCUGCUAGUUUCCUUCUCCAAGUCAAUCUGCGGAAAGGAUAGCUAGGGCUUUCAUUUUUCCCAGACUCUGCUAAACUAUCCCUAUCUCUUGAAACGCAUUGCCAAUGUUUAGCAAUGUAUCCAGCAGCAGCAGCUGCUCCAAAAACCCACAAAUCCAUUUCUGCUUUCCCAGAAAAGACAAAAAUACUACCCAAAUUCUACAACAAUAAUUUUCCUCUUUUACCAAUUUCGACC